rnacentral:rRNA from 1 species
ACGGAAGGCAGCAGUGAGGAAUAUUGGUCAAUGGGCGGAAGCCUGAACCAGCCAAGUCGCGUGAAGGAUGAAGGUUCUAUGUAUUGUAAACUUCUUUUGUUCGAGGGUAAAAUGCCUCACGCGUAGGUUAUUGCAAGUAUCGAACGAAUAAGCAUCGGCUAACUCCGUGCCAGCAGCCGCGGUAAUACGGAGGAUGCGAGCGUUAUCCGGAUUUAUUGGGUUUAAAGGGUGCGUAGGCGGGAUGUUAAGUCAGCGGUCAAAUGGUGUAGCUCAACGAUACCGAGCCGUUGAAACUGGCGUGCUUGAGUGUGAACGAGGUAGGCGGAAUGUGACGUGUAGCGGUGAAAUGCUUAGAUAUGUCACAGAACACCGAUUGCGAAGGCAGCUUACUAGGAUACAACUGACGCUGAGGCACGAAAGCGUGGGUAUCAAACAGGAUUAGAUACCCUGGUA